ensembl:snRNA U2 U2 spliceosomal RNA
CUCACACGCCAGGCCUGGGCGUUGGGUUAAAUCUAUAAUAUACGUUCUUAUCAGUUUAAUAUCUGAAAUGUCUUCUAUCUGAAAACAAUAUAUUAAAUGGAUUUUUGGAGCUAAGACAUGGAAUAGGAGCUUGCUAUGUCCACUCCAUGCAGUGAUCUGGUAUUGCAUUGUCUCCAGGAAUGGUGAAAAAAAA